rnacentral:rRNA from 1 species
GGAGCUGUCCUUAGUACGAGAGGACCGGGAUGGACACACCGCUGGUGUACCAGUUGUUCCGCCAGGAGCAUCGCUGGGUAGCUAUGUGUGGCAGGGAUAAACGCUGAAAGCAUCUAAGCGUGAAGCCCCCCUCAAGAUGAGAUUUCCCAUUUCUUCGGAAAGUAAGAUCCCUGAAAGAUGAUCAGGUAGAUAGGUUUGGAGUGGAAGUGUAGCGAUACAUGGAGCGGACAAAUACUAAUCGAUCGAGGACUUAACCAA